ensembl:lncRNA
GUGGAUCCCUUUAAGAAACCUACAUGAGCCUAUAAUCGAUAUAAAUAACUUUACAAUAAACGAGAGAAAUUUAGAGUUUUGUUAAUUAUUUAUACAUUUUGUAAUAUAGGCUUAUGUUUAUUAUAGCACAAGUAAUCACCACGUAAGAUCACUACUAUUAUGUGUAUAGCUGUGCCCAUGUGAUAAUUAUUUUUUCAGCUCGAUAAUUAGUACAGCUUUGAAUUGCAUCAGUGCUUUAUUGAUGUCGAUGACAGUCUUCGUUUGUGCUGGGGCCAUAUUCUCACCGAAUACAAUAUAAGGAAUGUAGACUCUUGUUUCCACACACUCGAUCGCAUAUUCAACAAUGAGUCGAGAGUAACUGAAGCAGGAAAAGUAGGGAGAGGCUAUGACGUGAUGCUGAAGAAUAUCUUGAUGGCUGAAAUUAUGCCUAUAGUGGAGGAAUUUGACCAGCAGAAAAAUAAUGGUCACAGGUUUAUCUAAUUACCAUUCUUCAGCAACCAAGUAAUAACUGUGUUUGUUUGGGACCAGACCUGUGACAAUUCAUGAGGCCAUAACUGGUCAUUUCUAAGCAUUCAAUAAUUGAAUUGUGGGGCCCAUCUUUCUUUCAAACUGAGGAAAGUGGAAAAGACAGACAGAGACUGGCAUGAAAUAUCAGGGUGAGAGCCUGAUAGAAACAGACAUGUAAUGUUUGACAUACACACUUUGACUGCAAUUGAGAUAAAUGGCUCUGUCCUUCUCCGCUUCUAAACUUCUCCCUUCUCCUCCCUUCUUUCAGACACAGUGUAUGAGUUCAGGCUACAGGCAGCAGCAGACAAUUUCAUUGCUGCAGCCUCAAGGCUGCCCAGAGCCUCUGGAUGAUUCCCCCCAUGUGGUUUCCAGGUGCAAGGUGCUGUUUAUAACUGCAUGACCUGUCAGUACGACUCAUGUGAGUUCCCGCUGGAUUGCCCUGGUGAGUUGACAGGCUCCUUUACAUGUGUGCAGUUUUGUGUUCAAUAUAUUAUGAUAUGUAAUUCUGUGCAGUCCCCCACUCACCCACUCUCUCCACACUUGACAUGAUGGAUAUGUUAUAACUCAACCUGACAGAACCACCUCUGUAAUUAUGUAACAGCAUUUACGCAGUACAAACAUCUAUUGCUUUUAAAUCUACUUGGGAGCACAGCAAAGUUGUUAAACGAAACCUUGGGCCUUGACACACUUUUACACAUAAUAUAAUUUCUCACAGAUAGCCCUUUGGGUCACCUAAGAUGGCAGGCCUUCUCCCACACACUGUGGUAUUCAUUUCCACUCAGCACAGCUACAAUUAUUGCUCAGUGUUUCUUUUCUUUGGCUGCUCUCACCAGAGGCUUUGCUUAAAUAUUAUAAUUAGGUGAAUGGUGGGCAGACUGUGCUGCCUCUGUUCUUCUGUCGACAAAAGGCAUUCAGUUGCAAGGUGAAGUGUUACAGAUCUGCGUCUAAUGUAUUGCUGUGUGUGUGUGAUGUAUAUGCUUUUACAGUGAAGGAAAUCAAUGUAAAGGAGAACAACAGAACUCAGAUGUGGUGUAAGGUCCCUUUCCUGCUUCCUACAGAU